rnacentral:rRNA from 1 species
UAAUACGGAGGGGGCUAGCGUUGUUCGGAAUUACUGGGCGUAAAGCGCACGUAGGCGGACCGGAAAGUCAGAGGUGAAAUCCCAGGGCUCAACCUUGGAACUGCCUUUGAAACUCCUGGUCUUGAGGUCGAGAGAGGUGAGUGGAAUUCCGAGUGUAGAGGUGAAAUUCGUAGAUAUUCGGAGGAACACCAGUGGCGAAGGCGGCUCACUGGCUCGAUACUGACGCUGAGGUGCGAAAGCGUGGGGAGCAAACAGG